UACCAGCACCCCCGAGUGGUCGGGACGAUUAUUGGGCCUAAAGCAUCCGUAGCCGGUUUUACAAGUCCCCCGUUAAAUCCAACUGCUUAACAGAUGGGCCGCGGAGGAUACUAUAAGACUAGGAGGCAGGAGAGGCAAGCGGUACUCAGUGGGUAGGGGGUAAAAAUCCGUUGAUCCAUUGAAGACCACCCAGUGGCGAAGGCGGCGUUGC
rnacentral:rRNA from 1 species